CUACGGGAGGCUCCAGUGGGGAAUAUUGCACAAUGGGCGCAAGCCUGAUGCAGCCAUGCCGCGUGUAUGAAGAAGGCCUUCGGGUUGUAAAGUACUUUCAGCGGGGAGGAAGGGAGUAAAGUUAAUACCUUUGCUCAUUGACGUUACCCGCAGAAGAAGCACCGGCUAACUCCGUGCCAGCAGCCGCGGUAAUACGGAGGGUGCAAGCGUUAAUCGGAAUUACUGGGCGUAAAGCGCACGCAGGCGGUUUGUUAAGUCAGAUGUGAAAUCCGCGGGCUCAACCUGGGAACUGCAUCUGAUACUGGCUAGCUUGAGUCUCGUAGAGGGGGGUAGAAUUCCAGGUGUAGCGGUGAAAUGCGUAGAGAUCUGGAGGAAUACCGGUGGCGAAGGCGGCCCCCUGGACGAAGACUGACGCUCAGGUGCGAAAGCGUGGGGAGCAAACAGGAUUAGAUACCCGUGUAGUC
rnacentral:rRNA from 1 species